UGCCCAGUGACCCCAGUUAAACGGCCGCGGUAUCCUGACCGUGCAAAGGUAGCAUAAUCACUUGUUCUCUAAAUAGGGACUUGUAUGAAUGGCCCCACGAGGGUUUGACUGUCUCUUACUUUUAAUCAGUGAAAUUGACAUUCCCGUGAAGAGGCGGGAAUUAAAAAAUAAGACGAGAAGACCCUAUGGAGCUUUAAUUAACUAAUUUACAAAUUAUAAUAUCAAUCUACAAGAAAUAAAUAAAAAUUAACUAAAUUAGCAAUUUAGGUUGGGGCGACCUCGAAAUAAAAACUAACUUUCGAGAAAAUUCACUAAGGCCUACAAGCCAAGGUUAUCCAAUCAUACAUUGAUCCGCUAUAAGCGAUCAACGAAAUAAGUUACCCUAGGGAUAACAGCGCAAUCCUAUUUAAGAGUCCAUAUCGACAAUUAGGGUUUACGACCUCGAUGUUGGAUCAGGACAUCCCAAUGGUGUAGCAGCUAUUAAUGUGUUCGUUUGUUCAACGAUUAA
rnacentral:rRNA from 1 species